AUUCACAUGGGGUGAAUUUUAUGCGGAAAUCCAACCGCGUACGGCCUAGAACGCCGUUGUUUCUUAAGGAGAAAAAAAUG
rnacentral:ncRNA from 1 species